rnacentral:ncRNA from 2 species
GGAAGAAUUUCUGGAGAAACUCCAAAAGACUUUCUAGAGGAACUCCGAAGGAAUAACUGGAGAAAAUCCUGAGGAAUUGCUCAAGGAACCAUGAAGAAAUCUGAGG